GAUGAACGCUGGCGGCGUGCCUAAUACAUGCAAGUCGAGCGAACAGACGAGGAGCUUGCUCCUCUGACGUUAGCGGCGGACGGGUGAGUAACACGUGGAUAACCUACCUAUAAGACUGGGAUAACUUCGGGAAACCGGAGCUAAUACCGGAUAAUAUAUUGAACCGCAUGGUUCAAUAGUGAAAGACGGUUUUGCUGUCACUUAUAGAUGGAUCCGCGCCGCAUUAGCUAGUUGGUAAGGUAACGGCUUACCAAGGCAACGAUGCGUAGCCGACCUGAGAGGGUGAUCGGCCAAACUGGAACUGAGACACGGUCCAGACUCCUAAGGGAGGCAGCAGUAGGGAAUCUUCCGCAAAGGGCGAAAGCCUGACGGAGCAACGCCGCGUGAGUGAUGAAGGUCUUCGGAUCGUAAAACUCUGUUAUUAGGGAAGAGCAAAUGUGUAAGUAACUAUGCACAUCUUGACGGUACCUAAUCAGAAAGCCACGGCUAACUACGUG
rnacentral:rRNA from 1 species